rnacentral:rRNA from 1 species
GACGUAGGGCGCGAGCGUUGUCCGGAUUUAUUGGGGGUACAGAGCUCGUAGGCGGCUCGUUGCGUCAACCGUGAAAACCCGGGGCUUAACUUCGGGCUUGCGGUUGAUACGGGCGGGCUGGAGUUCGGUAGGGGAGACUGGAAUUCCUGGUGUAGCGGUGAAAUGCGCAGAUAUCGGGAGGAACACCGGUGGCGAAGGCGGGUCUCUGGGCCGAUACUGACGCUGAGGCGCGAAAGCUAGGGGAGCAAACGGG